CUGUAAAGCCCUCUGAGGCAAAUUUGUAAUUUGCGAUUUUGGGCUAUACAAAAUAAAAUGAAUUGAAUUGAAUUAAACCCUAACCAUGGGUGAAGGUGACUGAACCAGACGAAACUCAAGUAAUAGUGGCCAACGUUAACAAAAGGUUUCCAAGUCUCUUUCACUCAGGCAUCUAUGUUCUCCUUAACGACGGAAAAGAUAAGCCUACUCAGGACCAGAUGAGAAGGAUGGACGACUAAAGGGCAGCGGCCGCCUUUCUUUCACAGGGGCAAACUAAGGCGAGACUCCUCCGGGCUUUGGUUUCCCUCCUGGGGCGGUUGAGAGUGGACGUCAACCAACCCGUCAUCCCGGGAGGACCCACCACAGACCCCUGAAUCUCUCUCAGCACCUCAGUGAGUCCCAGACCCAGAGAGUACUGUUACGUGGUCCUUGCCCCGCCACGCCGUCACCCCUCGCCCCACCCGUCCGGAGAGAGGAUGAGGGGCGGCCCGUCCUCACUUGCAUAGGGGGCGUUGUUUAUCUCCAUCGGCAUCUUCUGUGCUCAUGGGUUUGGGAAGCUCCUCACACACACAGGGAACCGUCGGCAGCUGUCAGCCAACCCUUACAACAAAUAAACAUUAUGCAAAUCAUCAUUUAUUGUUGCAUUCAAUUUUCAUUAGCAUUUACAUGUAUUACGGUAUUAUUACCAAUAAAGCUGAACAGUAUAGUACUUAAAAUAUUGCAUAUAAACAUGUUAGCGGAUGCUUUAAAUCAGUGGUUCUCAAAUGGGGGUACGUGAAGGCACUCCAAGGGGUACGUGAGUAGUUUUUUAAAUAAAUACAUUUAAAAAUUGAAUAAAAUUGAAGAAAUAAAUAGUUAUUCAAUAAAUUGUCAAUAAGUUUAAAUUCAUAAAUUGGAUUUUAUAUUCAGUUUGCAAUCAAUUUUUAUUAUCUUUAAAAGCCAGAGUCUCCCCGUACCAGGAUGCUUUGAGCCAACCUGGCACACGCCCCCCGUCAUCACCUGUCAGAAAACAAGGUGCAGCCCACCCAGUGUUGUUUCAGUGUUAACAAUUAAAGAAUUCAGACUCUGAUGGCACAUCACUUUGUAUUACACCUUUUUUCAACCAAAAAGGCUUUGGGGGUACUUGACUGAAAUAAAUAUUAGUAUGAUAAUAAUUUUAUAUAUAUUGACAACAAUAAAAAUAGUAAUAUAAAUUUAUUGUAGGUCCAAGGGAGCAAGAUGUCAAGCAAAUGAAAUAGAUGAAAUCGAUUAUCACUGUAUAUGUGUAUAUGUGUUUGUACACAUGUUACGGAGACAGGAGUACACAUGUGUUUGAUAACGUGACUCAUUCACAUGACCAACUGUUAUGACGACAUGACAUCUUAACAGCAUUAAAGCAACGCCGCUGUUACAAAAGUAAGAUCAUUCUGUGAAUUAACGUAAAGCUAAUGUCAAUAAUUCCACUUUGACAUUGAAGAAACUGGUUCACCUUACAUUUCAGGAACGUCAAGCUUUAUUUAAUAAGGAUCUUAGUCAUGCAAAGUCAGCAAAUUAAACAACUUGUUUAAAGCUCCAAGGUUGGAUGGUUUUUGUAGCAGGUUUCCUAUUUCCAGGCUUGAAAGCGACAUUGACAUUAUUGACAGCAGGGCUGCCCAAUAGGUCGAUCGCGAUCAGCAACAUCUACAUCAGGACUUGGAAAGACCGUGGGUUGACCCCCGGCGACUGGAAAAAUAGAGACGGGCUCAAGGGCACCGGCGACCGGACACGGGGAGCUCUGGAGUGCCGCCGACGCUGUGGGUUCAGUUGGCCUUGAACGUUAUAUAUGAUGUUAUAAGUUAGGGAGACGUGCCGCAUUGUUAGAACCCUGUUCUUUAUUUUCAUACCUCCCUCAGGCGACAACAGUUACAUACAAAAGGUUCCCCGUAUUGCACCUAACGUUACAUCCCCCUUUCUGACUUCAAGAUGCCUUCUACAUAUGAAUGACUAAACGAUGACAGAAAGAUGAAGAAAACAGCUCCAAUUAUUUCCAUUCACUCCUCUUAAAUGUUUAACUCAACACAAUAACAUAAACAGGUAUUUAACUCAAACUGUACAUAUGAAAUAGGCUUACUGUAAAUAUGCAAUCAUGUCCAAAUAAAACAGUUGACAUUUUUA